UGAGGUAAAGGUGUUCUUUUUUACGAAGAGGGUGUUAUUGGUCAAGGACACACGAGGGGAGUUAUUUUUAUUGAAAAAUGGGUAGUUGACAUGUAAUGCAAUAAUGGUGAAAAAGGACGUUAAAUAAAAAAAAAAAAAAAGGAAAAGUAUGCUUUAGGCUUCCGAUAUGCAAAUAACUUGAAAUUGAGAACCCAACUUUUUCAAUUUAAAGUUAACACUAUUAAUCCCCAAAAUAUUUUGGAUUUUAUGCAGUUUGGGUUGAUGUGGUUUUUAAUGUCAAAUUUACCCUCCCCUUUCCC
rnacentral:lncRNA from 1 species